GCAAGCCAGGAUUCUUAUGUCUCUAUUCAAAAAAGUUAGUUCACACAAAGUUCACAAGAAAAUUCUCAGUUAAUAUCGAUGAAAAUUUUCUUUCCGUUUUCAUCAAUAAAAUCUAAAUUUAUUUUGUUAUACCCGACCUGCAUUCGAAAGAAUCAUUUGUGCUAUUCUCAGGAGCGAACGACUCUAUCCGCCAGUUGGUUGAAAUAGUUGUUUAAGCCUAGUUUUUUAAACGCCGUGCAAUCGUUUACCUUCGAGAAGAGCCCGAAGCAUCAGAGGCAGUUCUCCAUGGAUCGAACUUACCAAGGUCAAGAAGGACUUUUGUAACGAUGUCAUAGAGCAGACCCUCAGAUGGAGCGGGAGCUUCAACGAUUAUGCCUCUGAUAUCGCUUUCGCCGGACCAAUGCCUCAGAAGAUGGACCUCGUUGUUCCCAUCACAUGCUAGAGGCACGGUGGUGAAUCGAUUAUGAAUGGGAGAAGAUCGGCAAUAAUUAUAAGAGUAGGAAAAACUCUAUGGAAAGGGAAAUAUCUGCACGGAACAGAGAAACGCGGCCGCCACCAAAGACCUCCACCCAGAGGCCCUCGAUAUCAACAGAUGACUGUGACUGAACUCAAAGGACGGCGCACAAAUAGGUUUGGUCGUAUGCUCAGGUCUAGCUCGCCGGAUAGUCGGCGUUCUUCCUCACCUAAUUGUACUAUCGUACUCCACUACAAUUAUAUAGUGCACUUUAUGGAAAACUAAGUGAUUAUGCAAGACAAAGUACACUGAAAUUCUGAUGGCGCCGACACGAGAAAUGAAAAGCCCUACUGAACUCGUUCUAUUUGGAGGGGACCUAGAUGUUGAUUGUCCCUCUCUUCUGUACCCACCCUACCAUGACAAUGACUUCGAGUUCCUGCAUUGUCCCUUGAUCCUGGCGCGGAUACGCGACCGACCGUUUUUAUGAUUUCGAAGAUUCAUUUCAAUUCACAAUGAUUCAUUAAUAUAAGCUUAUAUAUGGGGAAAUAUGUGUAUAUGGUUCCGAAUAGCACUAUAUAUGUGUGUGUGCAAUGUGUAUGUUGGCUCGCACUUGGGAAUUAAGGAUCUUUCCGUUUUCCUUACUCUCAUAACUAUUGCGAAUCUCCUCCCGUAAUCGAUUCGCAACUGGAUGGCCUCCAACAUGGUGAUAGGACUAACGCGGUCUUUCUUCUCAGGCAUUUAUCCGGCAAAGGCGAUUUCAAAGUCAUAUUCGUUAAAGCUCUCUCUCCAAAUGAGGGUCUGCGCUACGACAUCUUUACAACGGUUCACUUUGCCGUGGCAUCGAAGAACACUGCAUUCAGAUUCGAAGCCGAUUCGAAUGGGAAUGUCAAUGCAUUCGAGUCAAAUUUCGUUAAUGACAGCAUCCGCAUGACCGUUUAUUCGGGCACAACGGAUCCGAAGCUAUAGCCAUUCACUACUGAGGGAGCAGCAGCAGCAGCUGCCGUGCGGUUUCCGUUUAGCAUGAUGCCUGCCCCAGGAUGACAGCUACGACACCGCACACAGAACCGGAUAGGGAUACAGAUACGGAUAAACGAUUUGGCCUUUGUCACGUUGGAAUUGUCCCUCCGUUAGCUGCAUGAAGACCAAAUCUUGAUUUUCCUCUUUUGCUGGAAAGUCCGUCAAUACGGUGAUGCCUAUUGUAUUGUUCGAAAUUGUCUAUAUUUUUACUCGACCCGGGUACCCUUGUAGAGCUGUAUCAUUUUGAUGUCGGGCGUCUCUCCUUGGAAAAUAAAUUUCAAAUAAAACGA